GAAAACGUUGUUUGUUUGUCCAGUUGUGAUUAUGAAAGCGUGGGAUUGACGAAGCGUUUUGACGUCUGAGGUUUUAUUGGAGAGGAAUGUAUUGAUUCGAUGGUGAAGGUAGUGGGAAGUUGUUUCAGUGGGAAAUUCAAUGGAACUUGAGUAGCAGAGUUUGUGAACUUUAGUUCCGAACAUGGGGAGAGUUUAAAAUGAGA
rnacentral:lncRNA from 1 species